rnacentral:rRNA from 1 species
UACGGAGGGUGCGAGCGUUGUCCGGAAUCACUGGGCGUAAAGGGCGCGUAGGCGGCCUGGCAAGUCGAUGGUGAAAGCCCGAGGCUCAACUUCGGGUCGGCCACUGAUACUGCUGGGCUUGAGUCGACUAGAGGCAGAUGGAAUUCCGCGUGUAGCAGUGAAAUGCGUAGAGAUGCGGAGGAACACCGAUGGCGAAGGCAGCCCCCUGGGUCGACACUGACGCUCAGGCACGAAAGCGUGGGGAGCAAACAGG